CCGUGUGGGUGAAGAAGGCCUGCGGGUGUAAAGCCCUUCGGGGGGAGGAAAAGCGCGGUGCGAAGUAGUGCCGUGAGGUGACGGUACCACCAGAGGAAGCACCGGCUAACUCCGUGCCAGCAGGCCGCGGUAAUACGGAGGGUGCGAGCGUUAUUCGGAAUUACUGGGCGUAAAGCGCGUGCAGGCGGGAAGGCAAGUCUGAUGUGAAAGCCCCGGGCUCAACCUGGGAAGUGCAUUGGAAACUGCUUUUCUUGAGUGCUGGAGAGGAAGGGGGAAUUCCCGGUGUAGAGGUGAAAUUCGUAGAGAUCGGGAGGAAUACCAGUGGCGAAGGCGCCCUUCUGGACGGCAACUGACGCUGAGACGCGAAAGCGUGGGGAGCAAACAGGAUUAGAUACCCUGGUAGUCCACGCUGUAAACGAUGAGCACUAGGUGUAGCGGGUACUCAUUCCUGCUGUGCCGCAGCUAACGCGUUAAGUGCUCCGCCUGGGGAUUACGGUCGCAAGACUA
rnacentral:rRNA from 1 species